UUGUUGCUCCUCUAUGCCCCGCCUUUCUGAAACAUGUCGAUUUUUACAAAGCUCAUCGUUCUGAAAAGCAAAGUGUGAGUUGACUGGCCAGCUAUCCAGUGCAUUAUGAUUGGCUGAAUACCUCCUGCGUGUGAUGGAAAUGUUAUGCCCCUUACCAUACUGUGAUUCUGUCUCCUGGCAUGAGGCAUUUGUUGCAUCCAGUGGGGACAUAAUUGCUGAUUAUAAUGACUUAUACUGUCUUUUUACGUGUUGUGUAAACAUAAAACCAUGUCUGCAUUUGUGAUCGGAGAAAUGACAAGCAACAAGCGCUAAUGUUACUCUACACUGCUCAAAACUCGCGUUUGAAUCAUCAGUGGCAAAUUCUUUAAAUAUGUAAACGUACAUACAGGCUGUGAGUCAGAAACGCCAGACUGUCCUUGCAAAGUUGGAAUUGCUCCCCUUUAUAGAAACAGCCUUUGUGCCACAGAAGCAUUGUAGUCUACUGGUUCAGGAAUCAGUCCUCGUCCUCCGUAAAAAACGCUACACACAUCUGAAAAUUUUGGGUUGAACUGUUCUGGAACAGUGUUGUAAAUACAACUUAACCACUGAUUUCAAAUUGUGUCCUCUUUUGGAAGGCUAAACAAAGUAGUUUCGCUUUCACAACGAAACACAUAGCGUCUCCACAACAUAGCGGCAACAGCUAGAAUAAAAGUUACGCCUUCUUUCUUUGUGUGAACAUUUGGGCAGUGUUAUGCAAAUAUUCCCACAUCUGGCGUAGACGUGGGGGCGUGUUAGAAUGAGCCGUUUUAGGAGAGUGUGGUUGACUCUUAACUUUUAUAAAGAAUAUCUCUUUGGGUUUGAGAAUUUAGUCUUUGCAACUUUACAGAUCUUCUUCAUGCACCAAGAGCUUGUAACAAUCCAAAGCGAAAGGAAAAUUUGAAAUUGUAUCAUAUGACCCCUUUAAUUUCUGUUGGUUCUGUGAUCUCCAGAAAAACACACAGAGGACAGCCUAUACGUUCAGUGUACAGACAUAUAUUAUACAGGAAAGAGAGAAAGAGACUGAAAAGUUUCUGCUUUGUUGACUCUAAGAAUGCUUUUUUAUGUUAGUUUCUUAGAUCUAGCCAAGAUUCAAUAGACGUUAGCUGUUUAUAGUCACAUACUCAGGGUCAUUUGCUUCACCUUGUGAAAAAAUUACAUUCAGUAUUAUUUGCUAAAUACUUCAGAGCAGUUAGAAUAUUUGCUUUCUCUUCAUGAAAAAAUUAUAUAUAUAUAUAUAUAUAUAUAUAUAUAUAUAUAUAUAUUAUAAUUUUUUUAAUAACCAUCUUUGCUCUCUGAAAACGAAAGGAAUUUGUAUGUGUCAUCCUUCCCUCUAUUAUUCUAGUACUUUUUGUUCAUGUUGUUGUGUUCUUUUGUAGCUUUGCUUAUUGUCUUGUGCGCUUAGUUGAGAGCCAUCAUUUUAUUCUUCCAUCUAUUUUUCUUUCUUGAAAAUCACCUCACACUUGGCUGAUGCCAGUGAUAAAAUGAAUAGGGCAAUUCACUUAUAAUUCAUAACCUGUCUGCCCUUUGAGUGUGUGCUGCUCAACCUUAAUUAUAAAUCACACCAUAACGAGGAGCUCCUUUGCUCCAAUACACCCAGAUUCAGCUCUUCCCCCUUUCGUCUGGGUCUAAGAAACCACCACUGCAGGGGAUUGGGGUCAAAUCUUAGAGGCGUGAGAAGCCAGUGUUCAGCUUGUCAAAAAGGGCAAGCAAUACAGAUGAGCGAUCUCACUCUGGGCUGUAAGGGUGCAGACCGCAGAGCUUGUAAAAUCAGAAAGAGACAGGGAAUUCCUUGUAUUUCAUGAGAUUCUCUGUGUACGUUGUGGCUUUCUAUUUGGUGUCAGCCCCACUUUAUAGCUGGACAUAAUUUAAUAUUGGCUUCUGUGGUGGGUGCACACUGCCUCUGUCUUGCUCUAUAAAAUUAGAGCACGUUGUUCUUGUCUGCACAUAUUUCAAAGGCUGGCUGUGGUGAACCGUCCUUUGCCGGAGUUCAGGUUGCAUUUCUAUAACAGUAGAAUUUGCCUGAUUUUCGUUCUUUCCUGUGCAUUGAAUUUUUUAUUAUUUAAUUAUUAUUAUUAUUAUUUUAAAGGAGGUAUUUUUCUUCAGGCAAUUGUGUACUAUCUAACCACAUUUCUGUAAUGUCUUGAAUAAAAUAUCUCAAGAGGUGCUGACCUGGCAUCAAAACCCCUGUCUGGUAAUUAGAUAUGUAGUCUACCUGAAAUGUUUUUAAGUUACAUUUUUUAAGAUAGUUUUAAUAGGAAAUUCCUCCCUGAUGUCAAAUUUAAAGAGGGAAAAUUUAUGAGACCUUUCCACCCAUAUUUCUCUCAUAACCUCAUCAUCACACUAUAGUCCAGUUCAGUUUAACAUUUUACCCUCUGAUGUAAGAGGCUGAAAUCCUCUUGUACACGUGAAAGGAGAAUGGUGAGCCACGCAGCAGGACAGGAUGGGGUACGGGUUAGGGAAAGAACUGGAGAAGAAAGCAUUUGUGAGUGUUGGCUGGUGUCCCAGAAAAUGUCUCUGCUGUGUUGCAGGGUCCUUCCCCCAUUCUUAUGAUAGCAUUUUGCUAUAGACUCUAGGUAAAAUAAAGCUUUGUGUCUUUGAGAUUUUAAGGUUGUGGAUGGUUCUUGUUUGUGGAUUAUUGGAUUAUUGAAUUUCAGAUUAUAAAUUGUUUAACCCUUGUUCUGUUUCCCUAUUAAUAGGUCAGAAAACAUAAAUCUUAAACAACACAUUUAAUGACUUCUGCUAAUUUAUAUAACAUAUAAUAUUUAAAAAAAUAGAUUAUGUUUGUGAUCUCAGAGCCUAGGUAAAACAACAUGAAUAAAUGCACCAAGCAACACUAACAAUGAAAGCAGAGUGUCAGAAGAACACAAAUAUUAAUAUUUUAUAGUUUCUUAUUUGUGGUUUCUAAGUAUAGUUAUAGGACAGUUUUGUAAAAACAAAAAGAAAAUCCUGCUUAGUUGUGCCAAUAGCACAGAUUAUAUUAGUGCAGUAGUUCCAAUAUUUUAUUCUACAAAAAUAUUUACAUAAAAAUAAAAGACUGUUGUAAAAUAAUUGUUUUGACGCAAAACAUUACUGGUUGUUUUAUAAUUUUCAACAUAUUCUGAUUAGAACUAUAAUAGAAUUUCUAGCCAGCUGUUUUACUUCAUCUCGCAGCCAAAAAAAAACCAAAACAAAAAAAAAACCAAGGGAUAGAAUACAUGUAUUUGAUUAAUGAAUGUCAGUGACAACACAGAAUUGGCCUAUUAGGGCAAGUGACAGUUUUGUUAAUUGCCAGCCAGCUAUCACUAUUGAGCCCUAAUGUAUGUAAAUAAUGGGAAUUUGUUGUUUUGAGAAACCACAAAGAGAAUGUACCUCUAAAAUCACCAUCAUAAAUGAUGGCUUUAACACUCCAAGAAGGUUGUAGUUCAAGAUGGAGUAUAAAUCUUAUUCAUUCGGUUUCAGUUGUUUUCUGUUUUGCUAGUUAACAUAAUUUUCAAGAAUUUAAGCUGAUUUCUGGAUACAGCAGUUGUAUUGUCAUUGAUUCAGUACUGCUUGAACUCUCAGGUGUACUAUUAAAAAUGAGUGUGUGGUUUUCCUUUCUCUAUUUAUAAUUACUUGUUUGCCUUUAUUGUGCAUUGUACCCCUGACAGGUUGUCAGAAGCGGUUGUCUGUUCUUCUGUGUGUGGCCUCUGCGCUAGCUGUCAGUAUAACCUUCAGGAUGAAAGGAAAAACCAUUCGGGAAUGAUACUGACUCCAUCUCCUGGAGCUGUGUGUUUUUGUAUAGUCUCUUAUCCGAUUUCACUUCGAUAAAUUUAAUCAGAAUAGAGCUGACAUUGAUGUUUUGACAGCUUAGACAAAGCUAUUGUUCCUCUGUAGGACAAUCCUGGCUUGUUUAGCCUCGAAUUCCGCUGUAUGCCUGACUUUUUAAGCAUCACAUGGUAAGUCUGGAAGACAACUUAAGGCUCUUCGCUAACUUUAAAGGUGUGGUAUUCGCUGAUUGGUCUCCAUCUGGUUGCGAGUUAAGAAUAGUUUACUCAAAAUUUUAACUAUUGUACUAAUUUACUUGCCUUCAUGUUAUUCUAAGCUUUUGUGAAACACAACAAGAGAAGUUUAGCAGAAUGUUGACACUGCUCUUUACUAAGAGUGCUAAUUAAAGUGAAUGCCUCAAAAAUACUAAAGCACCAUAUAUUCCAAGUCUAUUGAAGCUGAACAAUAGCUUUUUUUGUGGAAAAUAGAAUCAUUGACAAUUUAAAUUGUUAUUCACCAAUAGUAAAUGUGGUCUGUGAAUAGCUGUGACCAAGGCAGAGACGGCCUUAUGAUGAGGAGAUACCAGCCUCUGUGUGGCUCGAUCAUUGGAGAAAGCAUAACGGUCAACUUGGAUUGCGUGUGCUGUGAUAGUCAAUCACAUUAUAUCCUUGAAGUAAUUUAAUUGCUGUCAGACUUGUACGACAGUCAAUCACUUUUUGGCAAUACAAUAGAAAUGGAUAAGUAGUGCCUUAAACAGAAUGUCACAGAAUUGUUCUUUUUUUUUUUUUGUAAACUCCAAAAAUAGAUAAAUCUAUAUAUAGGCUCUCGAUGAAUUAAACUAAUUUAAGUUCCAAUCUAUGUUUUUAUACAAUUAACUAACUUGUAAAAGUAGUCUUAGCAGUUUAUGCAACAAGUCACACAUCAUUAAUUCACUGAGUUGAAGUCAAGUUUCAAAUCAGUUCAUUUGGAGUCAGGUUGUAACAACCCAGCUUUCUAAAUCUAUCAGGUUGUGUCCACUCCCCCCAGUUCCACAUAUCCUUAGCACUCAGUAAUUUUAGCACAUAGGAAGUGCUAAGCUGCUCUUUAGUUGUAGUUUGAGAAGGCCUCUUGAUGAUCCAGUCAGUGCAGUGAACUGCCGAGGGGAGUUGCAGGUUGCUAUUACUUGAUGGCAGGAAGGCCAAAGGUUAACGCUUUUUCCCCUCCCCUCCGCUGUUGCCUGCCAGAAGUCCUUGUGAGCAUACAAGCCUCUGCUCACAGCCUCCACAAGUCUGGAUAUUAGCCAAGACAGCCCACUCCAAAACACACUACCUUUCAGUGUGUUUUUUUGUAUACCUCCCCUAUCCUGCCCUGCGGGUCCUGCCAUAACCACAUCCAUCACACCUCUGCAUCUUAGGCGUGGCUUGACCUAAGCUUGAUCAUGCAGUUUGAGACUUUUCAUUUGUUAAAAUGAAUCUCACACUUUUAGUUUUUAUUUUGCCUUUAAGGCUUUUAAAUUUUAAUAUAACUUUCUCAUCCUCUUUCAUUCUUUUUGAGCAUUUAGAAAGUCUCACUGUUUUCAUUAACUAGAGCUCAGUGUGCUCUUCAGGUCUCUUGCACAGAGAAAGUGAUAUAUUUAUCCUGAAACUUGGGUCACUACUGAAAUGUGGAUUCUGGUGAUCUUUGUUAAUUGUAAACAAAUAACAUUGACUGUGAUGCUUAUUCCUAGAGUAGAGAUUGGUGCUAACAAUGCCAGGAUUCAUAGGUUCGAUUCACAGGGAAUGCAUGAACCGGCAAAUUGUAUACCUUCAAUGGAAUUGCCGGUACAGUUAAUUGUACGAGCGGUACAGUUCAGUACAGUACAGUAUGCAAUAUUUUACGUUUCCAUUGUCAGAAGUUGUGAAUGGUACCAAAAUAGCGAAUUGGACCGUACCACUUUUUUGGGACCCUUCAGUAUGGGUAGCUAGCACAGUAGUCCGAUACCAAAAGGGUGGAGCUAGACUCACUACAGACUGUUGAUUAGUUGACAGAGAAUCGUCACUUGCGUGUGCUACAGCCUUUUUUUAAUGUCAGCAUGCAGCAGUGAACCAUGGUCGACCCAGGAGGUGCAGACCUUCCUGGGUAUCAUCGGUGAAGAACGUCUGCGAAGAGAACUCGAUGGCAUGGUGAGAAACUAAAAGGUUUUCCAGAAUGUUUCUGAGAGGAUGGCUGCAGAUGGGUUCCAGCGGACAUCUAAGCAUUGCAGAAUUAAACAGAGCAACUACCAGAAGGUGAAAGACCACAAACCGAAAGGUGUAAACCAAAAGAAGUGGAAGUGGUUCGAUAUGAUGGACGCCAUUUAUGGACACAGACUGGCGAGUUUGGCAAGAGGAGCUGGCAUCGAUAUGGCCACCUCUCUGCUGGAGUAAAUGAAGUCUGCUGUUGAGGAUCGCCGUGACCCUGUGCCACCAUCCAGCCACUAGUGCUUUGCACACAACACAGGACUUUACACUUGUUUGACACGUUUUCACUUUUUGUUCACACAAAACUGUUGUUGCACAGCACUUUGUAUUUUAAGCAUUUGUUUGACUGUUUUCAAAUUAAAGUAAUUUUUCCAUUACCUCAUGUGUCAUGUCAUGUGUUCAAUGACUGUCUCACAGGCUUCCUCCCAUACCCCUUCUAUAAAUUGAUGUAAUUCGCUUAAUGUUCCUGCCAUCAGAUGUUGACAAUGCCAGAGUGUAUGGAC
ensembl:lncRNA